rnacentral:rRNA from 1 species
AUGGGCAGGCAUGAUGAAGAGCAAAAGAGGAUGUUCAAGAAAAGGGAUUUGGCUGAGAAGAAAGCGAGUGAAACAGCAAAGAAAAACAGGCCUAAUCAGGAUAGCUAUGAAAAAAUUAUCAUCCAUCGCCUAAGCAUUGAUGCCACAUCUGAUGAAAUAUUGGGGUACUACCGAAGUGUCCGCGCGACAUUUUCAACUGUCUCAUCUUUUGUUGUUCGUGUCUCUGUUCGUCUACCUGGUAAACCCCAAGGGCCCUUUGAUGAUGGGGGAGUACCAGUUACAAGUCCACCUCCUCAAGAAGCCAAAGACUUCACUUAUCAGAUCACUGAGUUGUUUGAUCCCCUGACUCCAAAUGGCCCUGUUAUACAAAUUGCCGUACAACAGUUUAGUGGAUAUGCAAUGGCGGUCCGGGCUCUCUAUCUUGAUAAUGACCCCUUUUUACAAGCCUGGUAUGCAUUCCGUGGUGCAGAGCUGCAGCUACCAAAGCAUUUAUUUCCAAACGUGAUAUCUUUUCCCUACCGGGUGGACUAUGAUGAUGUUAAUGCCAUACAUAUCCAUCCUGAAAUCCUGAGAGAAGUUUAUGAAUAUUUCGUGACUUAUCAAACAACUGCGGUGGAAUUGGCUCUUGAAGAUGAAGUAAUGGAACACACUAUUGAUGGUCAGACAUACAAAGAUACCGUUUUCUUUCUCAUUGGAGAGUGCCAACGAUUCUUCGAACUGCUAGAACUCACAUGGAAUGCUUUUGCCCUUCCUCCGUCGGGUUUCCUGCUCUCGGAAAUUCCCUAUGCCAAUCUUCUGAUACACAGAUGGAGGCAUUUCUCGGAGGCCAUUGAAAAGCUCUGGCUUGCCAUCUUUGAAGAGAGGAAUGAUCUUCCAUUUGAAGUUAGCCGUGCUAGCGCAUUAAAUUCACUGAAAAAGUUGGAGGCAUUGUUUCCGGAAAUCAACUUCAAGAACGAAAGGCAAGAGUAUUGUGUUGAAGUUCUUGCCGGCUCUACGGUACAAUUGCUGAACUGCGAUUUGCCUACUAUCAAGAAGGUCCUCAUGAGGUCUGAUGGUUUCUGCGGCGAAUUCUUUGUCCAGAAGAAUGUUCAGAAGAAGAAGCGCCAGAAGAAUGUUCAGAAGAAGAAGCGCCAUGAGAAAGCUCUGGCUAGCGAUUAG